rnacentral:misc_RNA from 1 species
GAUGAAGAACGUAGCGAAAUGCGAUAAGUAAUGUGAAUUGCAGAAUUCAGUGAAUCAUCGAAUCUUUGAACGCACAUUGCGCCCAUUAGUAUUCUAUUGGGCAUGCCUGUUCGAGCGUCAUUUUGACCACUUAAGCCUGGCUUAGUGUUGGGAAUCUACGUCUGUAGUUCCUUAAAUCUAGUGGCGGAGCCGCAGUGGCCUCUGAGCGUAGUAAUUUUUUCUCGCUUCUGAAAGUACUGUAGUUUUUGCCAUAAACCCCCAAUUUUUUAAGGUUGACCUCGGAUCAGGUAGGAAUACCCGCUGAACUUAAGCAUAUCAAUAAGCGGAGGA